GGCAUGGAGGGAACGGAGGCAGACCGUGCUUGCAGCUGGGCUGUACCAUCCCCGGGCAGCACGGAAGAUACUGGAAGGGGGAAGGCUGUGCGUCGCAGCACAGCAGCUGGGCCAGGGUCAGACGGGCUGGCAGAGCAGCCCACGGCCGCACGCCUGCUCCAGGACCCGCGUGCACACGCAGCGUGGCAGAGGGUGACACACGUGCACAGAGAAACAGCUCCCAGGCUCAGAUACGCACGUGCACGCACGCAUGCAACCGCGUGGACUCGUGCUUUCUGUGUGUGUCACGUUUUCUGCGCGGAGGCCUUGCUCCUGCCCUUGGGGAGGUCAAGCGGUGGAGCCGGUCAUGCAGAGGCCUGCUGUGUGACUGAUCCCCUUCGCCUUUGCCUGAAACCCAUCGGGAUGUCUUCAACCUGCUCUUUCCCACGUGGAUGGCACCUCCCCAUGCUGCGACCUGCCUUGUUUAGGGCAGAGAUGGGAGCAUGUGCUUUGCCUCCCUUUCUAUGUGGCCUGCUCUCCCUCUGUGCCUCAGUUUCCCCAUGUGUCAGAUGAGGGCGGGACUCCAUGGAGCUCCUAGGUGACGACUCGAGCCAGAUCCCUGGCUGGUGCGGGAGCCUGGCUGCUUGCACUGGCUGCAGGUCUGGCCCCAUGUGUGUGAGCGAACCACCGGGAGCUUUGCCCGCGUGAGGGUGGAUCGGGACUGACCCUGGGAGGGCUGAUUCCGGCGAUGCCCAGUGCCUGGCUCUGCAGCUGCUGCCUGGACCGAACCCAAAGGCCUUUUCCACCUACCUGGGUUCGCACAGCGUGGAGCACGAUGCAGGUGAAAGGAAGUCACUGGUCCUCAGAGACGUGGAGAAAAGCCCGAUCCCUGAUCCGCGUGUUCAAAACGGUUGAAAAUGAAUAC